GACGAACGCUGGCGGCGUGCUUAACACAUGCAAGUCGAACGAAGAGCGAUGGAAGCUUGCUUCUAUCAAUCUUAGUGGCGAACGGGUGAGUAACGCGUAAUCAACCUGCCCUUCAGAGGGGGACAACAGUUGGAAACGACUGCUAAUACCGCAUACGAUCUAAUCUCGGCAUCGAGGAUAGAUGAAAGGUGGCCUCUACAUGUAAGCUAUCACUGAAGGAGGGGAUUGCGUCUGAUUAGCUAGUUGGAGGGGUAACGGCCCACCGAGGCGAUGAUCAGUAGCCGGUCUGGGAGGAUGAACGGCCACAUUGGGACUGAGACACGGCCCAGACUCCUACGGGAGGCAGCAGUGGGGAAUCUUCCGCAAUGGACGAAAGUCUGACGGAGCAACGCCGCGUGAGUGAUGACGGCCUUCGGGUUGUAAAGCUCUGUUAAUCGGGACGAAAGGCCUUCUUGCGAAUAGUGAGAAGGAUUGACGGUACCGGAAGAGAAAGCCACGGCUAACUACGUG
rnacentral:rRNA from 1 species